rnacentral:rRNA from 1 species
UGGGGAAUUUUGGACAAUGGGCGAAAGCCUGAUCCAGCAAUGCCGCGUGUGUGAAGAAGGCCUUCGGGUUGUAAAGCACUUUUGUCCGGAAAGAAAUCCUUGGCUCUAAUACAGUCGGGGGAUGACGGUACCGGAAGAAUAAGCACCGGCUAACUNCGUGCCAGCAGCCGCGGUAAUACGUAGGGUGCAAGCGUUAAUCGGAAUUACUGGGCGUAAAGCGUGCGCAGGCGGUUUGCUAAGACCGAUGUGAAAUCCCCGGGCUCAACCUGGGAACUGCAUUGGUGACUGGCAGGCUAGAGUAUGGCAGAGGGGGGUAGAAUUCCACGUGUAGCAGUGAAAUGCGUAGAGAUGUGGAGGAAUACCGAUGGCGAAGGCAGCCCCCUGGGCCAAUACUGACGCUCAUGCACGAAAGCGUGGGGAGCAAAACAGGAUUAGAUACCCUGGUAGUCCACGCCCUAAAACGAUGUCAACUAGUUGUUGGGGAUUCAUUUCCUUAGUAACGUAGCUAACGCGUGAAGUUGACCGCCUGGGGAGUACGGUCGCAAAGAUUAAAAACUCAAAUGGAAUUGACGGGGUCAUAGCUGUUUCCU